AGAGUUUGAUCCUGGCUCAGGAUGAACGCUAGCGGCAGGCUUAACACAUGCAAGUCGAGGGGUAGAGGUUGCUUGCAACCUUGAGACCGGCGCACGGGUGCGUAACGCGUAUGCAACCUACCUUUUACAGAGGGAUAGCCCAGAGAAAUUUGGAUUAAUACCUCAUAGUAUAUAUCUUUCGCAUGUUAGGUAUAUUAAAGUUCCAACGGUAAAAGAUGGGCAUGCGUCCUAUUAGCUAGAUGGUAAGGUAACGGCUUACCAUGGCUACGAUAGGUAGGGGUCCUGAGAGGGAGAUCCCCCACACUGGUACUGAGACACGGACCAGACUCCUACGGGAGGCAGCAGUGAGGAAUAUUGGACAAUGGGCGCAAGCCUGAUCCAGCCAUGCCGCGUGCAGGAAGAAGCAUCUAUGGCGUGUAAACUGCUUUUGUACAGGAAGAAACAUCCCGACGUGUCGGGACUUGACGGUACUGUAAGAACAAGGAUCGGCUAACUCCGUGCCAGCAGCCGCGGUAAUACGGAGGAUCCAAGCGUUAUCCGGAAUCAUUGGGUUUAAAGGGUCCGUAGGCGGUUUGGUAAGUCAGUGGUGAAAGCCCGCAGCUCAACUGUGGAACGGCCAUUGAUACUGCCAGACUUGAAUUACAAGGAAGUAACUAGAAUAUGUAGUGUAGCGGUGAAAUGCUUAGAUAUUACAUGGAAUACCAAUUGCGAAGGCAGGUUACUACUUGUGGAUUGACGCUGAUGGACGAAAGCGUGGGGAGCGAACAGGAUUAGAUACCCUGGUAGUCCAA
rnacentral:rRNA from 1 species